UCACCAGCUGGUGUAAUCCUUAGCUGCUUCUCCUUUUGCAGAGCAGAUUAGAAUGGCAUAGUGAUUAACUUUUCAGUGUAAUUAGGACUUAAAACACCCUGAUUGCUUCUGGG